rnacentral:rRNA from 1 species
GACGAACGCUGGCGGCGUGCUUAACACAUGCAAGUCGAACGGAAAGGCCCUGCUCUUGUGGGGUGCUCGAGUGGCGAACGGGUGAGUAACACGUGAGUAACCUGCCCUUGACUUUGGGAUAACUUCAGGAAACUGGGGCUAAUACCGGAUAGGAGCUCCUGAUGCAUGGUGGGGGUUGGAAAGUUUCGGCGGUUGGGGAUGGACUCGCGGCUUAUCAGCUUGUUGGUGGGGUAGUGGCUUACCAAGGCUUUGACGGGUAGCCGGCCUGAGAGGGUGACCGGCCACAUUGGGACUGAGAUACGGCCCAGACUCCUACGGGAGGCAGCAGUGGGGAAUAUUGCACAAUGGGCGGAAGCCUGAUGCAGCAACGCCGCGUGCGGGAUGACGGCCUUCGGGUUGUAAACCGCUUUCGCCUGUGACGAAGCGUGAGUGACGGUAAUGGGUAAAGAAGCACCGGCUAACUACGUG